rnacentral:rRNA from 1 species
AUUGAACGCUGGCGGCAUGCCUUACACAUGCAAGUCGAACGGCAGCGCGGGGCAACCUGGCGGCGAGUGGCGAACGGGUGAGUAACAUAUCGGAACAUACCCUAGAGUGGGGGAUAACGUAGCGAAAGUUACGCUAAUACCGCAUACGCACUAAGGUGGAAAGUGGGGGAUCUUCGGACCUCAUGCUCAUGGAGUGGCCGAUAUCUGAUUAGCUAGUUGGUGAGGUAAAGGCUCACCAAGGCGACGAUCAGUAGCUGGUUUGAGAGAACGACCAGCCACACUGGAACUGAGACACGGUCCAGACUCCUACGGAGGCAGCAGUGGGGAAGUUUUUGGACAAUGGGGCGAACCCUCGAUCCAGCAAUGCCGCGUGAGUGAAGAAGG